GCCCUUGUAGUGUAAUGGUCAACACACUUGAUACAUGUGUCCGUACGAAUAAAUUUCUCAUGAUCAAGAGUCAUGAGUUCGAUUCUCGUCAAGGAAC